rnacentral:tRNA from 1 species
GCUUUCGUAGCGCAGUCUGUAGCACUUCAGUCUCUUAAUCUGAAUCGUGAGUUCGAGCAUUAUCGAGAGCA